GGGAAAAACAUUGUUUGGAAAUUUGUAUCCUGCCUCGGAGUGAUCCACCCACUAGUGGAGCAGGAUGAGAAGAUGGCCAGAUUCUUCUCACAUACUUCGACCAAACAACCGAGCACAAGCGAGUGAGAGCAGCGAC